UUUAAAUUUCAAGAUGAGUGGGAUUCUCCACAUCCAAGGCGGCACCCAUAUUGGAGCCAAGUUCUGGGAGGUGCUCUGUGUCUAGCACGGCAUCAGCAGCUUCGGUAGGUAUGAAGGCUACGUGCUUUAACUUGAGAGGAUCAAUGUCUACUAUAAUGAGGCCAGUCGCACUAGCUAGGUUCAUGCCCAUGAAUAGCGUCAGAUCUAGAUCGUACAGCCGGAUCUUCAAGCCGGAAAACUUUGUCUUCGACUUAUACGCGCCGAGCACAACUAGGCUAAAGGUCGCUACACCGAAGGGGCUGAGUUGAUCGACCAAAGUGAAGAGAUUUAGGAUAUGCUAUCUAGCAUAGAGGUGGAGGCUUUGGGUUUGGAUGACCGAAAGGAAUGACUGCAAUUCUAAGAUUUUUGAGCUGCAAUAUCCGUUGCAAACAAAUUGCAGCAGUGACAACAGGUGAGAAGAGGAUUUGUUCGCAUAGUCAUGGAGAAUGGCUAUCCCCUGGUUUCAGUUUUGUGCUUUGGUCAGUGGGGGGAGUUAUUCCUGAAGUUUGCUAGAGCUAUCAGAUUCACCCCUCUUUCGGGGAAUGUUUGGGUAUGUAUUUACUUGUUUGAUAUUGUAUUAUUUACUUUUAGUGUCUUUUUUUUUUUUUUGCCUACUUUAUCAAGGGGAAACUCGAAACCAUUUUGGAGUGUUAGCCAAUCUAUAGUCACAAAAUUUCCAACAAUCAUCAAUUUCUAAUAGUUUAUGUAUACUCAUAGGUCUAAUGCUCAUCCUAUAUUUUAUCCUGCCAUUUACUUCUUAGUCCUGACUAGUGGCGUUGGAUAAUCCCUUUUGUUUGUGAUACGAAACCAAGUAAAUUGUUUAUAUGUUUCUGCCAUCUGUAAUUUGAUGAUUAAAUUCAUAACUUUUGUCUGGUAA